rfam:Myotis davidii contig137767, whole genome shotgun sequence.
GGUGGUUCUUAGGUUAUGCACCCUGGAACCUGGUUCCCUCCUUUAUGGUUCUGGGUGCAUCACCUGAGAAUCACA